rnacentral:tRNA from 1 species
UCCCUGGUGGUCCAGUUGGUUAAGAAUCUGUCUUCCAACGCAGCAGAUGCAGGUUUGAUUCCUGCUUGGGGAG